rnacentral:rRNA from 1 species
UACGGGGGGAGCAAGCGUUGUUCGGAUUUACUGGGCGUAAAGCGUGCGCAGGCGGUGAUGUAAGACAGUUGUGAAAUGCCCGGGCUCAACCUGGGAACUGCAUCUGUGACUGCAUGGCUAGAGUUUGGCAGAGGGGGGUAGAAUUCCACGUGUAGCAGUGAAAUGCGUAGAUAUGUGGAGGAACACCGAUGGCGAAGGCAGCACACUGGGUCAAGACUGACGCUCAUGCACGAAAGCGUGGGGAGCAAACAGG